CGGGACGUAGCUCAAUCUGGCAGAGCAUCUGACUUUUAAUCAGAGGGUUGCAGGUUCAAUUCCUGUCGUCGCUA